UGUCAAAGUCAGACAGCAAGAGACCUAA
rnacentral:piRNA from 1 species